rnacentral:rRNA from 1 species
GACGAACGCUGGCGGCGCGCCUAACACAUGCAAGUCGAACGAGAGAUGAGGAGCUUGCUCUUCAAAUCGAGUGGCGAACGGGUGAGUAACGCGUGAGGAACCUGCCUCAAAGAGGGGGACAACAGUUGGAAACGACUGCUAAUACCGCAUAAGCCCACGGCUCGGCAUCGAGCAGGGGGAAAAGGAGCAAUCCGCUUUGAGAUGGCCUCGCGUCCGAUUAGCUAGUUGGUGAGGUAAUGGCCCACCAAGGCGACGAUCGGUAGCCGGACUGAGAGGUUGAACGGCCACAUUGGGACUGAGACACGGCCCAGACUCCUACGGGAGGCAGCAGUGGGGAAUAUUGCACAAUGGGGGAAACCCUGAUGCAGCGACGCCGCGUGGAGGAAGAAGGUCUUCGGAUUGUAAACUCCUGUUGUUGAGGAAGAUAAUGACGGUACUCAACAAGGAAGUGACGGC